UGGAGACGGAACUAAAAUAUUUUAAUUUCUUACAAUAUUAAACGCCUCUUCUAAUGAGUGUAUCUAUCAAAUUAUUUUUCUUGCAAUAUACGCGCUAUUUGUUCCUCACACAUUUCGCUUACCAAACUUUGUCUACGACGUGGCAAGGCUUUGAUAUAAUUUGGCUUGGUGGCUUCGACGUUGUCGUCGUCCUCGAUUCUUCUCGUUCUUCAGAAGAACGAAGAUCCGACGAGGUUGCAUCCCACGAGUUGUGAGUUUAAUUUAGCGCUGUCGCUUCGCUGAACGGAGUUUUUGUCUCUCGCGCUUUACAAGUUAGGCUUUACGCAUGAUGAAAAGCACAGACAAUAGAAACAGGGAACAAGGAACUAUUCAGUAUGUUAAAUAAGGAAAACGUAAAAAGCGUUCUUUUUCAUCAUAUUGAACUGUUUCUCAUUUCCUAUUCCCUACUUCCUGUUCCGUUCAUUAUGUCUGGGGCUUUACACACGUGGUUCAUGCUUUCUUUACCAUUUGAGAUUUGAGAGCGCACAUUUUUUUUUUUUUUUGCCAUGACACGCGUACGGCUCGCGGCCAGUUAACAAUCCUCACAGAUAUCACCAACGGCGAGAGAUGAGAUUGCAGGCAUAUACUUUUCGCGCGUUCGCUAUCUUAGUUACAAGUCACGAAACGAGAGCCAUGGAGCUGAGCUACCAACGAUCUCGGGAAAUGAGUGAGUCUGUUUCUCUGAAAAGAAAAAGAAUAAUCGCACACGUACACUGCCGGUCUUCGUUUUCUCCUGGCCUGUCCUGGAGUACAGUAGGACCAGCUGAGAGACACCAGAGUUACAAAUUGGAAUCCUGGGUGAAUAUAUAUGUGGAUGGUUGAUGUCCGUGAACGUACCUCUUGGAUGGAACAAAAAAAAAUACGAACGAGCAAGUGGUUGGCAAGUUUUUGAGAUGCAAGUGAUGGAAGGACGCGAAAGAGCGAGCGAGCGAGAGAGAAAGAAAGAAAGGUGAAAGGAUCUAGAAAUGAGAGAGUAAAAGGGGAGAGAGAGAGAGAGAGGAGUAUAUAUUUUUGCAGGCUAAUAGAAUUUGAUGGGAUGAUGAUGGUGAUGAUGAUAAUGAUGAUGAUGAUGAUGAUGGUGAUGAUGAUGAUUAUGAUGAUGAUGAUGAUGAUGAUGAUGAUGAUGAUGCACUGGGCCGAGAGAAGUUGCUAGAGACAAGUGUGGAGCGAGUGCUUUUUUGAAAGCGUGGGGGAGUUUUUUUCAUUGCGAGAGCAUACGUCGCGAUCUGCGGCGGCGGUUGAUCGCGAUUAAUUCCGCGCUUCUGCUCUCGCGGAAGAAGGAAACAGAUUACUCCUGAGGCAGACGCGGACGUAAACUUACGUUUGGAAAAGUCUACUUAGGUUUUGCAGAGAGGUCUACUGGCCUGAAGAGAUGUUAAUUGACAAGCUGCGGCGGGACAAUACGCCCACGAUUAAAAUUCGAUUAUCUAUUGAACAUCGCAUGUGAGAGGACUUUCAGUAUAAUACGAAGUGUAUGACGAACAUUGAAACCGUCGCAAGAAAGUUUAUCCAUAAAUAAAACUACAUAUUAUAUACUAUUAUAUUAGAAAUAUUCUAAUUUUUUUAUGUAUGUUUUGUGUCUGUGUGUGUAUAAAAUUUUGAGAAUUUUUAAAAUAAUUCUUAAAAUUUCAAUUUAUGCUAUUUCUUAUUUAAUCAUAUUCCCAUGAUACUUUGUACGCGCGUCAAUUAUUAAAAAUUUAAAUUAUUUUGAUUA
rnacentral:lncRNA from 13 species